UGCUCAGCUCUGUGACCUUGGCCACUCCCUUCCUCUCCCUGCCUCUUCACUUCCCCAUCUGUCAGUCAUGAGACAUAAUAGUUGCUGCUUCCCAGGCAGGUGGCGGAGGAUUGUUGGAAAUAACGUCAGGAGAGGACCUGGGGUAUCUCAGUUGCCUGCCCCUCCUGUGUAGUUCGUGAACAGUUACUCAGCACAGUGGCAUGUCAGCCAACAGUAUCUUUGUCCUGUGCACCUCCUCACAGAUGAGAACAUGAAGGCACUGCAAGGUGCAGCAGCUUGAUCAAGGUGUGUGCUUUGCAGACGACAACCUGCCCGCUUCAGUUUCCAUCCACACAGAAAAUGAGAGCCGGUGACUCCUGCUUGCCUGGGUCCCUGGGAGCAUCAGACGCAGCUGUGCAGCGUGCUUCCCUUCAGCUAAGGGCCAGGGUGACUUCACUCCCUGGCACCUGCAGGUGCUGAAACUCCAAAGUCCUAAGUUAAUGGCAGUGAGCACUUGGUUCAGUUAUGGAAUCUAGAAGGUGGGCCUGGUGGAAGGUCCUUAGGUCACUGGGCUCAUGCCCUUGGUGGGUAGUUCUCAGGUCAGAGUGUUUGGUUACAGACACUAAGUUGGCUCCAGCUAGUCUCUCUGCUUCCUAACGUGCAGUGUGCACUCACCCUCCAGCCUCACCACACAGCCAAGCCAGUGGCACUGUCUUGAUAUUAGACUGUGAAGCUCCCACCCUGUGAGCUGAAACAAACCUCCUUCCUCUAUAAGUAACCUAUGUCGAGUAUUUAGUAACAG